rnacentral:rRNA from 1 species
ACAAUAUACAAGGUGCUGCAUGGUUGUCGUCAGCUCGUGCCGUGAGGUGUCGGGUUAAGUCCCAUAACGAGCGCAACCCCUAUCAUUAGUUGCCAUCAGGUCAAGCUGGGGACUCUAAUGAAACUGCCUACGCAAGUAGUGAGGAAGGUGGGGAUGACGUCAAAUCAGCACGGCCCUUACGUCCAGGGCUACACACGUGCUACAAUGGCCGGUACAAAGGGCAGCUACCUGGUGACAGGAUGCUAAUCUCAAAAGCCGGUCUCAGUUCGGAUCGGAGUCUGCAACCCGACUCCGUGAAGCUGGAAUCGCUAGUAAUCGUGAAUCAGAAUGUCACGGUGAAUACGUUCCCGGGCCUU